rnacentral:rRNA from 1 species
AGCGAACGCUGGCGGCAGGCUUAACACAUGCAAGUCGAGCGGGCACUUUCGGGUGUCAGCGGCGGACGGGUGAGUAACGCGUGGGAACGUGCCCUCUGGUUCGGAAUAACUCAGGGAAACUUGAGCUAAUACCGGAUACGCCCUUUUGGGGAAAGGCUUGCUGCCGGAGGAUCGGCCCGCGUCUGAUUAGCUAGUUGGUGAGGUAACGGCUCACCAAGGCGACGAUCAGUAGCUGGUCUGAGAGGAUGAUCAGCCACACUGGGACUGAGACACGGCCCAGACGACGGGGGGGGGCAGGGGUGAGAAAGAGGGAAGAGUGGGAGAAGGCGUCGCAGAGCCGUGCGUGGGGGUUGAGCAAUGCGUGAGGGUUGUAGUGCUGUUGUAGGCGCGGAAAGAACGGCGGUGCGGGGGGGAGAAGCCUAGGCUAACGUGGGGCGGGCGGCGGCGGUGCGAGGCGGAGGAGAAAGCGUGUGAGC